GAAGCGCUGACAUCACUAGAUGCUCCUGUAUAGCUUAGCUUAGCUUAGUUUAGCGCUCUCUCUCUCUAGCUUAAAUUAAUUUAGCUUCGCUCUAUCUCUAGCUUAGCUCAGCUUUCUGUAUUUUACAGCCGCGGUUUCCCUGUUUUAACUGUUAUUGCUGUUUUUUUUAUUAUUUUAUGAGUAUUUUGUGAACCGGAAGUAGUAGAGAUGCAGCUUUUCGUUCUCAUCUCCCUCCGCAGAACCAGCAGACUGUCAGGAGACAGAUGAAGGGAAAAAAAAGUGAGAUAUUUAGAAUAAAAUGUGUUUGAUGAUUUUCAAGAAGCCAAUAUUGAUAAUUAAUCUGCAUCAACAUCAAUCUUCCUUAUAAUAAUAUUUGGUGUUUGUAGUGGAAAAUGUAAAGCAGUGAAACAAGGAGAAGAGCCCCUCAUCAUCAUCAUCAUGUGGAACCAUGCAGGUGACCCCAUGAUGUCCUGGUUGAUCUGUCCAUUGACCUGCAGCUGGGAAUCCUUCAAAGGAGUUCCUGACUGAGGCUCUGCCCGUCAAGCUGAUCGGGAUGAACUGCGACAUGAUGAAGCAGUACAUCGAGUUUGUGGCCGACAGGCUGCUGCUGGAGCUCGGCUUCUCCAAGAUCAACAGAUGUAAGAAAACCUCGACUUCACAGAAACAUCUCUUCAGAGCGACGGGUUGGAGGCCUGAAACCACGGAGAUCAAACCUGCAGAUUAGA